UGUCUUUCAAGUUUACCUAGAGCCCCAGAACCCUCUGGCCUGCUGUGGUGAGGCUUGCCAAGAAAUUUGAGUUCUGACUUAUGGAAUGUGUGAUUCCCCUCUGACUAGGUCUGCUCCAAAUGCACCUUCCAUGUGCAGUCAGUGGCUGAACCUAGCAUGGCUUUGCUUUCUGCUAUGACAGGUCAGCACUGAGUUCAGGGUAAAGUACGCCAGUCACUGCACUCUCUCUCUCUCCGAAGUGCAUAGACUCUGUGCUACACGGCCACUGCCAGGGCUGGAGGAGGAAUGAUGUCGGCAACUCAAGGCUGUCUCUUCAACCCUUUUCAAUGCCUCUGUCAACAACAUGAAGUUAAAACCAGAUAAACUAGAAGAUUUGGUGCCCAGCAUGAAGAAUAGUUCCUUUCAAGUACCUGUAUGUCCUGAAUGUAUUCCUUCCAGUGGGUUCUUGGUCUCGCUGACUUCAAGAAUGAAGCCUUGGACCCUCG
rnacentral:lncRNA from 10 species